CACUUGUGCCGAUCGCCACUCCAGAUGCGGGAAAAAUGGGAAAAACGAAUAAUUAUAAGGAUGUCACUGUGCUAUAGUAUGCUCAAGAAUUUUAGAACAACGAUUGCCUGUGCUUAGGGAGGAAUGUAGAGAUUAAAUAUUUAUCCGUGACACAUACCGUGAAAAUAUGUGACCGUUGCAGAGAUGGCAACUCCGGUUUGUGUGAAUCAUUGAGGAGAAAUUAGAUCGCACAGAAAAGAUCCUCAGGUCUGCUUAUUUUCGUAGGACUUCGUAAGAGAUUUGCAUUAUGCAUCGUAAGGCCUUGCAUUCGUCAUGACGCAUACAGCUGAUGGUUAAUCAUACUUAAAACGCUGCUUGAUAAAGGAUUAAUCACUGUUCUGUCUCACUGGUAAAUCACCCGCUUUGGCGGUGGGAUUUUUUGAAGUUGUAAUAAAAAAAUAUUCGAAAACCUCUUCAUAUAAGAACAUCUUCCACAGCGUAUAGAAGAUGAUCUUUGUCAAACAUCACGUGUGUUCAACUGUGAUCCGUCUCGGGUUCUGUGUGUGUUGUUACUUUUAGAACAACCUCAUGCUUCGGAAGGUUCAAUUUAAUUCAAUCAUCUUUCGCGGUUUCCAUUGGCCCGGUGUGCUACGGAACGAUGAUGAGACCUCAUUGUCCAUCGUCUAAUUUGCCCCUACCAACGGCAGUGUAGCCGUAGUACGGUUUGCCCUCCCGGUAGAAAAAUGGAAGGGGGGAAGGAAGGCCACGCUGACGCGGUGUCCGACCUAACUGCCAGAAGAUGAUAACAAGUCGGCUAAAAAUAGUGUAUAAUCCGUUGGUGUGUUGGUCCGCCACUUAUUGCACUAACAAGCUAAAAGCCGUGUGUUUCCUCCCGAUCGCUCGAGCAGACGGCGAGCAGCAUAGUCGACAACCAUCUUCGCAUCUUCCUCGCGCUCUCUCAACCAAAUAUAAAUCCCUCAAUCGCAUUCCCUCUUCCAACGGAUCCCCAUCCUAUCCAUCCCGAGUGAUUGUGGGCGAUUCGUUGUUGACAAGCGGCAUAGCUCCUCCAGGGGAUGGGUGCUUCUGCGUUUUUUUUUGUUUGGGGUUGCUCCUUCUUCACUUAGUGAUAGUUCAUGGCAUGGGUAAACCUUAGGGAACCAGAAAGAGCGGAACGAAACAGUUGAAGGGGAUGCUGUUUGUUUGAAAAGCGAUCGAAUGAUCAUCGUUCUGAGAUGAUGCCGUUCGACAACGUCGUCAUCAGUGAGAUUCACAGUGUAAAGAGAGUUCCUCACUCACCCUUAUACAUGUCGUCGUCGUCGUCGUCAUGUGUAGUUCGAAGGACAUGGAAAAUAGGAGAGCAAAAGAGAGAGGAUCGUCUAGGAACGUAGGGGCUUUUGUGCGGGUUUCGGGUACUAGGGAUGGGGAUGGACGCAUGCCGGGGGCACGCCACUGGUGUUUGUGCACUUGUCAAUCCGACCUGAGAACGAACUACGACACAAGCAAUUUGCAGUCGCCCUCCUCGCGCGCACCAAUAAGGCAUUUGGGUAAAUGCGCGUCCGCCAGUGUGUGUUGUCGCUGCCGUUUGCAUGCACGCGAGAUAUUCCUCACAACAGGUUGCUGUUAUUGUUGUGCACAGAAAAGGAAUGGCACUUGAGAAAGGCGCUACAAAUCAGUAAAACAAAACAACAAAUUAAAGUAAACUCGCGAGUUUUGUGCGCGACACCGCGGUGUGACUAGACGGAGCCGAGGAGAGAGAGAGAGAAAGAGAGAGAGCGGUGCUACUGAUGCCGUCCGUCGUUUGAUGAUCUGUCCGUCCUCCGCCCAUCACGCGCCGCGCGCUUACUGGCGAAGUUAGAAGUGCACGUGUUCGAAAACAUUAGCGUGAAUGUGUGCAACGUACACUCCCACCCGACGAACCGGACACACACGCACCGGAGGAUAGUGUUGUUGUACUGAGCAGUCGUCGGAACCGGAACCGUGAAUCCUUUUUCGGUCGCCCGCUAUUCCAUCGUGCGACCGACCAUUUGAUGCUUCCUGGUUCGCUUGCUCAAAAAUUUAACUUUACGUAACACAAGAGAAGUUCGCGGUUGCGUUGCAGUGUGGAGCAGCAGAAGCUUGUUGUGUGCAAAUAGCUCUGUGCCUCUGUGUUUCCAACGAUUUGGCAUCAUUUUGGGGUGUCGCUUUUGAUGGUGCCGCAUAUUUCACGAAAUGGCACACGUAUGGAGCAAAUCUAGCAGAAGAAAUCAGCCGAACGAUUGCGCAGAAGAGCCGACCAAUCUGGCCCUAGGAAAAAAAGCACACCGACACUUGUUUAAUAAGCCCGCUCUAUAAUGCACGGAAAGGGUACCCAGACCAUGUCAGCUCGCAUCAUUCCGCAACAAAGCGCAUAGUUUCACGAUGUCAGACCAAAUUUUGUUUCGCGUAUGUUUUGCAUUAAAAUUUGGCAAACUCGCCAGACAGCUGGCACCCCGUCGUGUUCAUUUCCCGCUACAUGGUAUGCUGCAGCAUUCGUUUAGAAAUUGGUUCGAGCCAUGGUGUAUAACAGCUAGCGCCACAAACUGUAAUACGGUCUAGCGACCGCCAUUUUGCUCGUGGCGCUGUCGGCGCUUGCAUGCAUCUAGAUGGCGCUAGUUGCUUUCGAGAGAAAAGUGGUCUACGUCUUAUUUUUACACAGUUUUGGGUGUUAGUAAAUAUGGUUCCUACGAUUCGAGAAGAAUAAAAAUUAUUCAUAAUUAUGCAAAAGGCA